GGGAGGUAGUGACAAUAAAUAACAAUACGGGGUUCUAAAGGAUUUCGUAAUUGGAAUGAGUACAAUUUAAAUCUCUUAACGAUCAACAAUUGGAGGGCAAGUCUGGUGCCAGCAGCCGCGGUAAUUCCAGCUCCAAUAGCGUAUAUUAAAGUUGUUGCAGUUAAAAAGCUCGUAGUUGAAUUUCGGGAUUAGUACGCUGGUCGUGCCUUCGGUACGUACUGGUGUUACUGAUUUCUACCUUCUGACGAACCAUCAUGUCAUUAGUUUGGUGUGGUGGGGAAUCAGGACUGUUACUUUGAAAAAAUUAGAGUGUUUAAAGCAGGCUCGCGCUUGAAUACAUUAGCAUGGAAUAAUGAAAUAGGACGUUUGAUCCUAUUUUGUUGGUUUCUAGGAUUGACGUAAUGAUUAAUAGGGAUAGUUGGG
rnacentral:rRNA from 1 species